AUUGAACGCUGGCGGAAUGCUUUACACAUGCAAGUCGAACGGCAGCACGGGUGCUUGCACCUGGUGGCGAGUGGCGAACGGGUGAGUAAUGCAUCGGAACGUGCCUUUUAGUGGGGGAUAACUAUCCGAAAGGAUAGCUAAUACCGCAUACGCCCUGAGGGGGAAAGGGGGGAGUCGCAAGACCUCUCGCUACAGGAGCGGCCGAUGUCCGAUUAGCUAGUUGGUGAGGUAAAGGCUCACCAAGGCGACGAUCGGUAGCUGGUCUGAGAGGAUGAUCAGCCACACUGGGACUGAGACACGGCCCAGACUCCUACGGGAGGCAGCAGUGGGGAAUUUUGGACAAUGGGGGGCAACCCUGAAGCAGCGAUGCCGCGUGGAGGACGAAGGUCUUCGGAUUGUAAACUCCUUUUGCUGGUGAAAAAUAGCGGCGUGAAUAACGCCGACUGAUGGUAACCGGCGAAUAAGCCACGGCUAACUUCGUGCCAGCAGCCGCGGUAAU
rnacentral:rRNA from 1 species